CCACCACUAAGCCAGUGGUGAACUCCACAUACGCAUCCUUUGCUGAGGAUACGGUUAACGGAGCGCAAGCGACGUUCAACCUCAAAAGAAGCAGAGGGGGCUUAGUGGUGGGGUGACUGCGUACCUUUUGUAUAAUGGGUCAGCGACUUAUAUUCUGUAGCAAGGUUAACCGAAUAGGGGAGCCGGAGGGAAACCGAGUCUUAAUUGGGCGUUAAGUUGCAGGGUAUAGACCCGAAACCCGGUGAUCUAGCCAUGGGCAGGUUGAAGGUUGGGUAACACUAACUGGAGGACCGAACCGGCUAAUGUUGAAAAAUUAGCGGAUGACCUGUGGCUGGGGGUGAAAGGCCAAUCAAACCGGGAGAUAGCUGGUUCUCCCCGAAAGCUAUUUAGGUAGCGCCUCGUGAAUUCAUCUCCGGGGGUAGAGCACUGUUUCGGCUAGGGGGCCAUCCCGGCUUACCAACCCGAUGCAAACUGCGAAUACCGGAGAAUGCUAUCACGGGAGACACACGGCGGGUGCUAACGUCCGUCGUGAAGAGGGAAACAACCCAGACCGCCAGCUAAGGUCCCAAAGUCAUGGUUAAGUGGGAAACGAUGUGGGAAGGCCCAGACAGCCAGGAUGUUGGCUUAGAAGCAGCCAUCAUUUAAAGAAAGCGUAAUAGCUCACUGGUCGAGUCGGCCUGCGCGGAAGAUGUAACGGGGCUAAACCAUGCACCGAAGCUGCGGCAGCGACGCU
rnacentral:rRNA from 2 species